rnacentral:tRNA from 1 species
GCCGGAGUGGCGGAAUGGCAGACGCGCUAGACUCAAAAUCUGGUAUCCGUAAGGGUGUGUGGGUUCGACUCCCACCUCCGGUACCA